CACUAUGCUUUAAAUCAGCUAAACUAGUUUUUCAAAAGUGUAAAAGCCCUACCUCUUGAUUUGCUCUGAAGACAUUCUGCUUUAAAUGGUCCUGCCUUCAGUAUGUUGUAAAAGCUCCCCAGGUGACACUAAUGUGGAACCAGGGCUGAGAACAGUCUGUAGGCAAUUAAAUGCUAAUGGCUUGAAGGAGGGAGGAGAGGAACAUGCAGCUCUUUGUGGUGUAGGGUCAAAGCAGAGCCACAGUGACUCAGUGGUCUGAGUCUCUGGAAGACCACCCAAGUCCAUCCACUGGGAAGUGGUAGGAAUUUUCCUUGAUAGGUCUGUUGCUCAAAAAGGGAUGGUGAAGAGGAAAAAAAGAAAGAAACAUGGUUCCUGAUCAUUAAAAAACGUUUUCUGCUUAUAUCAAUGCUUUUAGCCACCAAGUUACAGAUGCUACCAUGCUAACCUGACUUCUCUGGGCAGAUGACCUUACCAAUGUGUCCUAGAACUCUACCUCUCCAGAACCCUACCCCACUAGGGAAAGAUAGAAACAGGCUGGGAGUAUGGAUUGACCUGCUAAUACCCAUGUUCAGUGGAGAAGCAAUUACAGAAGCCAGACCUUCCACUUUCUGCACCACACAAUGAUCCUGAGUCCAUGCUCCCAAAAAGAUUAACAACAGGAAAGCUUGCAAUGAAGGGGAUUGGAUGUGAAACUCUGGUGGUGGGAUUUGGAUGGACUUCUUAUCCUACGUUCUUAUAGAUUAUCACUAAAUCAAUAAAAAAAAUUCCGUAGAAGUAAAAAAUAA